UACGGGGGGGGCAAGCGUUGUUCGGAAUUACUGGGCGUAAAGGGCUCGUAGGUGGCCAACUAAGUCAGACGUGAAAUCCCUCGGCUUAACCGGGGAACUGCGUCUGAUACUGGAUGGCUUGAGUUUGGGAGAGGGAAGCGGAAUUCCAGGUGUAGCGGUGAAAUGCGUAGAUAUCUGGAGGAACACCGGUGGCGAAGGCGGCGUCCUGGACCAAUACUGACACUGAGGAGCGAAAGCCAGGGGAGCAAACGGG
rnacentral:rRNA from 1 species